AGGCCUUGGCUCACAUCAGGAACUCAUUUCACCAUUGUCUCCCCAGUAAUGAGUGUUGAAUUAAUGGUUCUUCCCAGAUGUGCUUAAAACUUCUUUAAAGUACCUUCUUUAUUCACUCAUCAAAGUUUGUCACCUACUCUGUGCUAGGGGAUGUUGUAAGGUGAGGACAGCAAAGCCCCUGUGGACUCACUGUGUGUUCCUGAGCAAAGAAGUGUCCUUGGAAAUGCUGCCUCCUCUAGAACUCCAUUAAUAGCCAGUUUACAGGGCUACAGAUAAGAAAACGGAGACUCGAAAGAACUGGUAG
rnacentral:lncRNA from 1 species